rnacentral:rRNA from 1 species
AACGCUGGCGGCAGGCCUAACACAUGCAAGUCGAACGGUAGCACAGGAGAGCUUGCUCUCUGGGUGACGAGUGGCGGACGGGUGAGUAAUGCAUGGGGAGCUGCCCAAUCGAGGGGGAUACCAGCUGGAAACGGCUGCUAAUACCGCAUACGCCCUGAGGGGGAAAGGUGGGGACCUUCGGGCCUACCGCGAUUGGAUGCACCCAUGUGGGAUUAGCUAGUUGGUGAGGUAACGGCUCACCAAGGCGACGAUCUCUAGCUGGUCUGAGAGGAUGACCAGCCACACUGGAACUGAGACACGGUCCAGACUCCUACGGGAGGCAGCAGUGGGGAAUAUUGCACAAUGGGGGAAACCCUGAUGCAGCCAUGCCGCGUGUGUGAAGAAGGCCUUCGGGUUGUAAAGCACUUUCAGUGGGGAGGAAGGGGUGAUGCCUAAUACGCAUCAUCAUUGACGUUACCCACAGAAGAAGCACCGGCUAACUCCGUG